GACAGAGGGUGCAAACGUUGCUCGGAAUUACUGGGCGUAAAGCGCGUGUAGGCGGUCCGGUAAGUCCGCUGUGAAAGUCCAGGGCUCAACCCUGGGAUGCCGGUGGAUACUGUCGGGCUUGAGUACGGGAGAGGCGAGUGGAAUUCCUGGUGUAGCGGUGAAAUGCGCAGAUAUCAGGAGGAACACCGAUUGCGAAGGCAGCUCGCUGGAACGUUACUGACGCUGAGACGCGAAAGCGUGGGGAGCAAACAGG
rnacentral:rRNA from 1 species